rnacentral:rRNA from 1 species
UACGUAGGGUGCAAGCGUUUGUCCGGAAUUAUUGGGCGUAAAGAGCUCGUAGGCGGUUUGUCGCGUCUGCCGUGAAAGUCCGGGGCUCAACUCCGGAUCUGCGGUGGGUACGGGCAGACUAGAGUGAUGUAGGGGAGACUGGAAUUCCUGGUGUAGCGGUGAAAUGCGCAGAUAUCAGGAGGAACACCGAUGGCGAAGGCAGGUCUCUGGGCAUUAACUGACGCUGAGGAGCGAAAGCAUGGGGGAGCGAACAGG